rnacentral:rRNA from 1 species
UGGCCAGACUCCUACGGGAGGCAGCAGUGGGGAAUAUUGCACAAUGGGCGAAAGCCUGAUGCAGCAACGCCGCGUGAAGGAAGAAGGCCUUCGGGUCGUAAACUUCUGUCCUUGGGGAAGAAGAACUGACGGUACCCAAGGAGGAAGCCCCGGCUAACUACGUGCCAGCAGCCGCGGUAAUACAUAGGGAGCAAGCGUUAUCCGGAUUUAUUGGGUGUAAAGGGUGCGUAGACGGGAAAUUAAGUUAGUUGUGAAAUCCCUCGGCUUAACUGAGGAACUGCAACUAAAACUGAUUUUCUUGAGUACUGGAGAGGAAAGUGGAAUUCCUAGUGUAGCGGUGAAAUGCGUAGAUAUUAGGAGGAACACCAGUGGCGAAGGCGACUUUCUGGACAGUAACUGACGUUGAGGCACGAAAGUGUGGGGAGCAAACAGGAUUAGAUACCCUAGUAGA